rnacentral:rRNA from 1 species
GAGUUUGAUCAUGGCUCAGGAUGAACGCUGGCGGCGUGCUUAACACAUGCAAGUCGAACGAACCUUCGGGUUAGUGGCGGACGGGCGAGUAACGCGUGAGAAUCUGCCCUCAGGAGGGGGAUAACAGCUGGAAACGGCUGCUAAUACCCCAUAUGCCGCGAGGUGAAAUGAAUUUCGCCUGAGGAUGAGCUCGCGUCUGAUUAGCUAGUUGGUGUAGGUAAUGGCUCACCAAGGCAUCGAUCAGUAGCUGGUCUGAGAGGAUGAUCAGCCACACUGGGACUGAGACACGGCCCAGACUCCUACGGGAGGCAGCAGUGGGGAAUUUUCCGCAAUGGGCGAAAGCCUGACGGAGCAACGCCGCGUGAGGGAUGAAGGCCUCUGGGCUGUAAACCUCUUUUAUCAAGGAAGAAGAUCUGACGGUACUUGAUGAAUAAGCCACGGCUAAUUCCGUGCCAGCAGCCGCGGUAAUACGGGAGUGGCAAGCGUUAUCCGGAAUUAUUGGGCGUAAAGCGUCCGCAGGCGGCCCUUCAAGUCUGCUGUUAAAAAGUGGAGCUUAACUCCAUCAUGGCAAUGGAAACUGAGGGGCUUGAGUGUGGUAGGGGCAGAGGGAAUUCCCGGUGUAGCGGUGAAAUGCGUAGAUAUCGGGAAGAACACCAGUGGCGAAGGCGCUCUGCUGGGCCAUCACUGACGCUCAUGGACGAAAGCCAGGGGAGCGAAAGGGAUUAGAUACCCCUGUAGUCCUGGCCGUAAACGAUGAACACUAGGUGUCGGGGGAAUCGACCCCCUCGGUGUCGUAGCCAACGCGUUAAGUGUUCCGCCUGGGGAGUACGCACGCAAGUGUGAAACUCAAAGGAAUUGACGGGGGCCCGCACAAGCGGUGGAGUAUGUGGUUUAAUUCGAUGCAACGCGAAGAACCUUACCAGGGUUUGACAUCCUGCGAAUCUCUUGGAAACGAGAGAGUGCCUUCGGGAGCGCAGUGACAGGUGGUGCAUGGCUGUCGUCAGCUCGUGUCGUGAGAUGUUGGGUUAAGUCCCGCAACGAGCGCAACCCACGUCUUUAGUUGCCAGCAUUUAGUUGGGCACUCUAGAGAGACCGCCGGUGAUAAACCGGAGGAAGGUGUGGAUGACGUCAAGUCAUCAUGCCCCUUACAUCCUGGGCUACACACGUACUACAAUGCUACGGACAAAGGGCAGCAAGUUCGCGAGGACAAGCAAAUCCCAUAAACCGUGGCUCAGUUCAGAUCGUAGGCUGCAACUCGCCUACGUGAAGGAGGAAUCGCUAGUAAUCGCAGGUCAGCAUACUGCGGUGAAUACGUUCCCGGGCCUUGUACACACCGCCCGUCACACCAUGGAAGUUGGCCACGCCCGAAGCCGUUACUCCAACCCUUGUGGAGGAGGACGUCGAAGGUGGGGCUGAUGACUGGGGUGAAGUCGUAACAAGGUAACC